UGGGGAAUUUUGCGCAAUGGGCGAAAGCCUGACGCAGCGACGCCGCGUGUGCGAUGAAGGCCUUUGGGUCGUAAAGCACUGUCGACCGGGACGAAAACUCACGGGCUAAUACCUCGUGAGCUUGACGGUACCGGUAAAGGAAGCACCGGCUAACUCUGUGCCAGCAGCCGCGGUAAUACAGAGGGUGCAAACGUUGCUCGGAAUUAUUGGGCGUAAAGCGCGUGUAGGCGGCUCGUUAAGUCGGUUGUGAAAACCCAUGGCUCAACCAUGGAAGUGCGUCCGAAACUGGCGAGCUUGAGUCCCGACGAGGAUGGCGGAAUUCCCAGUGUAGAGGUGAAAUUCGUAGAUAUUGGGAGGAACACCGGCGGCGAAGGCGGCCAUCUGGGAGGGUACUGACGCUGAGACGCGAAAGCGUGGGGAGCAAACAGGAUUAGAUACCCGGGUAGUCC
rnacentral:rRNA from 1 species